rnacentral:rRNA from 1 species
UACGGAGGGGGCGAGCGUUGUUCGGAAUUACUGGGCGUAAAGGGCGCGCAGGCGGCUGCUCAAGUCAGGCGUGAAAGGCCUGGGCUCAACCCGGGAAUUGCGCUUGAGACUGGGAGAGGAUGGUGGAAUUCCCAGUGUAGAGGUGAAAUUCGUAGAUAUUGGGAAGAACACCGGUGGCGAAGGCGGCCAUCUGGACCGCAACUGACGCUGAGGCGCGAAAGCGUGGGGAGCAAACAGG